rnacentral:rRNA from 1 species
UACGAAGGGUGCUAGCGUUGUUCGGAAUUACUGGGCGUAAAGCGCGCGCAGGCGGUCUAUCAAGUCAGAGGUGAAAUGCCGAAGCUCAACUUCGGAACUGCCUUUGAAACUGGUAGACUAGAAUAUGGGAGGGGAUAGCGGAAUUCCUAAUGUAGAGGUGAAAUUCGUAGAUAUUAGGAGGAACACCGGUGGCGAAGGCGGCUAUCUGGCCCAUUAUUGACGCUGAGGCGGCGAAAGCGUUGGGGAUCAAACAGG